rnacentral:tRNA from 1 species
AGCUCAGUGGUAGAGCUAUCGGCUGUUAACCGAUCGGUCGUAGGUUCGAGUCCCGUAGGAG